GACGAACGCUGGCGGCGUGCUUAACACAUGCAAGUCGAACGGAAAGGCCCCUUUGGGGGUACUCGAGUGGCGAACGGGUGAGUAACACGUGAGUAACCUGCCCUUGACUUCGGGAUAACUUCAGGAAACUGGGGCUAAUACCGGAUAGGAAUCCUUGCUGCAUGGGGGGGGUUGGAAAGCUUCGGCGGUUUUGGAUGGACUCGCGGCUUAUCAGCUUGUUGGUGGGGUAGUGGCUUACCAAGGCUUUGACGGGUAGCCGGCCUGAGAGGGCGACCGGCCACAUUGGGACUGAGAUACGGCCCAGACUCCUACGGGAGGCAGAAGUGGGGAAUAUUGCACAAUGGGCGGAAGCCUGAUGCAGCAACGCCGCGUGCGGGAUGACGGCCUUCGGGUUGUAAACCGCUUUCAGCAGGGGCGAAGCUUGUGGUGACGGUACCUGCAGAAGAAGCACCGGCUAACUACGUG
rnacentral:rRNA from 1 species